AUGGCGGCGCCGCACGUCAGCGGCGUGGUCGCCCUUCUCAAGAGCUUGCACCCGGACUGGUCGCCGGCGGCCAUCAGGUCAGCCAUGAUGACCACGGCCGAUGACCUGGACAACGACGGCAACCGGAUCAUGAACGAGAAGCACCAGCCGGCGAGCGCCUUCGCUCUAGGCGCGGGGCACGUCAACGCCACGCGGGCCGUCGAUCCGGGCCUCGUCUAUGACCUGGAGGUCAGAGACUACGCUGGGUACGUUUGCCAUCUUUUCGCCAAGCUCGACGACGACGACGACUACUACGCCCUGCAAGACAUCAUCCAGGACUUGAACUUGAAUUGCAAGAUCGUUCCCCCUGUGUCGGACGUCGACCUCAACUACCCGAGCAUCGUGGUGCCGGCCAACACCACGGUGCGGCGGACGCUGACGAACAUGGGGCCCGUGGAGCAGUACACAGGCAGGCUGUCCAUGGACCAUGACGUGGGGCUGGAUUUCUCGCCGAAGUCGCUGACCUUCUCGCGGCCCGGGGAGAAGCUCACCUUCCAAGUAAGCCAUCAUGGGGCCGAGGUUGCACAAGGAUUCUUGAUCUGGGAGUCGGAUACGCACACGGUCCAAAGCCCACUCGUCGUCGUGCGUUCGUGA
rnacentral:rRNA from 1 species